rnacentral:rRNA from 1 species
ACCAGCGGCGUUAGAGCUUUGAAUGCACCAGUGCCCGAUGGAUCACUGAAGUUAAGCAACGUGGCGUCUUGUUAGUAUAAGGAUGGGUGACCAUCUGAUGGACUAUCACUGGAU